GAAUUGACGGGGGCCCGCACAAGCAGUGGAGUAUGUGGUUUAAUUCGAAGCAACGCGAAGAACCUUACCAGGUCUUGACAUCCUUGGACCGCUUAAGAGAUUAAGCUUUUCCUUUCGGGGACUGAGUGACAGGUGGUGCAUGGUUGUCGUCAGCUCGUGUCGUGAGAUGUUGGGUUAAGUCCCGCAACGAGCGCAACCCUUGUUGCUAGUUGCUACGCAAGA
rnacentral:rRNA from 1 species